GUAAGAUGGACAUAAGGAAAUGGGAGAUAAAAGAUGGAUAUGUGAUCUGGGAAUGAGACAAUGAAGUUUCAGAGAUGGAGCAGUUCUGGCUUAUUUAAGGAGAAACACAGAGGCUUCUCCUGAGAGCACUCUCUCAAUCAAGAGUUCCCAUCUCAGGAUCUGCUCCUACAAGAACCAACUUAGGAUAGUAAUGAUGUUUAUCACUUAUUUAUCUUGUUCCAUAUAUUAUGGGAUCCUUGGGGUGUUGCUUCACCAGCCAGGAGCCACUGUGGACAGGGGUGCCUUUGCCUGAGUUUUCUUCAGGCCCACUGGGCCCACUCAACCUGGUGGACUGUGCUUGGUUUGCGCUACUGGCCUGGAUCCCAUGCCUGCCAAGGGGCCACCGACAGUGCAGAGGUGCCCAGGUCCGCGGCCACAGCUUGGGCGGCUGCUGCUGCACCCAGGAGGGCAGAUCUCUUGCCUGCUGUCUACCUGCAAGAGCAGAGGGAUGCCUGGGUCUGCAGGGGCAACUAGGUGCCUGCAACUGCACCCAGGGAUCGAGAGGCUCCAUCCCGCCAGCUCGGAAGGGGGUAGGGCUUCCUCCUGUUCAUGGCUCCCACCAGCUGGGUACACAUGAAGCCCAAGCUGCACCUCCCCUACUGCUGCUGGCAUCAUGGCAGCAGCCGCGUCUGGGGCCACCACUGCCAUCACAUAGAUGCCAUAUUGCUACUCAUUGAAAUUCCUAAAGAGGUGUCUUUUAAAAUACUGUUUGGC
rnacentral:lncRNA from 1 species